rnacentral:rRNA from 1 species
GACGAACGCUGGCGGCGUGCUUAAUACAUGCAAGUCAACUUGACUUUAGAUAGCAAUAUCGAAAAGUAGGGUGGCGCACGGGUGCGUAACGCGUAGGUAAUCUGCCCUGAGGUCUGACAUAACCCGUCGAAAGGCGGGCUAACAUCAGAUGAUAUAUAGUCACGACAUCGUGGAAAUAUCAAAUCUUCGGAGCCUUGGGAUGAGCCUGCGUCUGAUUAGGUAGUUGGCGGAGUAAUAGCCCACCAAGCCUACGAUCAGUAGCUGGUCUGAGAGGAUGAUCAGCCACACUGGAACUGAGACACGGUCCAGACUCCUACGGGAGGCAGCAGUAAGGAAUAUUGCUCAAUGGGGGAAACCCUGAAGCAGCAACGCCGCGUGAAGGAUGAAAUACUUUUGUAUGUAAACUUCUGUAAGAUGGGAAAAUAUUCUCCUCGGGAGAAUUGAUUGUACCAUCAGAGUAAGCCCCGGCUAACUACGUGCC